ACUCCUACGGGAGGCAGCAGUGGGGAAUAUUGCACAAUGGGGGAAACCCUGAUGCAGCGACGCCGCGUGAGCGAAGAAGUAUUUCGGUAUGUAAAGCUCUAUCAGCAGGGAAGAAAAUGACGGUACCUGACUAAGAAGCACCGGCUAAAUACGUGCCAGCAGCCGCGGUAAUACGUAUGGUGCAAGCGUUAUCCGGAUUUACUGGGUGUAAAGGGAGCGUAGACGGAUGGGCAAGUCUGAUGUGAAAACCCGGGGCUCAACCCCGGGACUGCAUUGGAAACUGUUCAUCUAGAGUGCUGGAGAGGUAAGUGGAAUUCCUAGUGUAGCGGUGAAAUGCGUAGAUAUUAGGAGG
rnacentral:rRNA from 1 species